UGUUAAAUAUUUUAUUUAUUUGUAUUGUUAAAAAUUGACGUGAUUUACAGAAUAAUUAGACAGUAACAUAUGACAUGCUAUGUAUACCUCAUAUUGAUGUAUAUAGAUCGAUUUUUAACAGCAUAAACUGAUAAAAUUUUUAACA
rfam:Gossypium hirsutum cultivar TM-1 chromosome 11, whole genome shotgun sequence